GCUGGGGAGUCAGAAUCCCGGCCCCAGCGUCCCCAUCUCUGGUGCCUGUUUUCUCAGGCAGCCUCUACCUUCCAGCCCCUGCCAGGAAGCCGGCGGCCUUUUCGUGAAGCAGUAAUAACAAGGACAGAGCGUUCCGCCUGCCGGAGCCUGCUGGCUGGUCACUCUUUCCACUGCCUUUUGUUUUCAUGCAUCAUUCCCCUCACUGCUUCUCAGAUUCCUCGGGGCUUUGAAAAAAGCCACAAAUGCUCCACACAGUGACACCACCCAGCAGGCUGGCAGACAGCGCUGACAUGCGUCCUGCCCUGAGCCAUCGCACAGACGCAAGCCCUGACAACCGACGCCCACCGACGCCCACCCGUAUGCUCGUCAGAGGCAGGUCCGCUUCCAGAAAGGGCCCACCUCCCAUCGGCCUCGCUGGCAGAGGCAGGACGGUAGAUUAAGUACCACCCCGAGGACUGAUAAAUCACGUUGCUGUGGUAUUAAAGUGCAUCUGCAGCAGACACCGUGGCGCACGCCAGUGAUCCCGGUACUCGGGAGGCUGAGACUGAGCCUGAUUCCUCCCCAGUUUCUUGCUCCCUAUCUCACCAUGUGAUCUCUUCCACUACUGUGAUGCUAUUUUUAAGGAGACUUUCACCAGACCAAGGAAACAACACCAGCACCAUGCUUGAAUCUCCAGAACUCCUGCUACAGCCUUGUGACCCAGGGCUCUGGAAUGGAUCAACACUCCUACUCCCUCUUGCGCACGCCACUGCGUCUCCAUGGAAACAGCUUGUCAGGCCCUGCUUGGCAGCAGGUACUGAAGACCUCUCAUCUGCAGCUCCUGGCCUCCAUGGAUUUGGUCUUAACAAGCCAGGCAGGAUGUUAGGAACUCUAUCCUCUCUGUAGUCGCUGGGGGUGCACCUGGAAAGUCCCCAACACCAUCAUAUUCAGGCAGUUAUCAGUGGAAGGGAAGGGUUCUGUCCUAGCUUCCUGUUUGAGCAUGAACUCUUUAUCUCCCUCCAGCAAGCCUUCUCUCAGCAUCACCCUGCACCCACCAAAGCUUAGAGCCACUGUGGGCUCUUCAGGUCCCAUCUGUGUUGACCACCACUGUUAAUUUGGUGAAGCUCCUUUGUAUCUCUGGGACCCUCCAUUCUCUGGAUCCCCCUUGCCUCUGUGAAAGCCCAGACCCUCAUUAUUUCCUUCUGAAAUUACUGCAGGAUCCUCUGAACUGGUCCUUGUACUUUCACGUUUGCUUUCCUGUGUCCAGUCUGCACACUACAACCAUGAUAAAAUGUCCAGAAAAAGAGACUAGGCAGGGUGUGGCAUGGGAGAUAGAGACAGAUUGGCUAACAGGUGCCAAAAUAUAGGUAGAUAAGAGGAAUAAGAUCUAGAGUUCUCCAGCACAGUAGGGUAACUGUAGUUCACAGUAACUUAUUAUAUACUUUAUAAAGUUCUAGAAAAGAGGAAUAUGUAGGCUCCAAACACAAAGAAAUGAUAAAUGUUUCACCAGAUGGAAAUGCUAAUCACCCAGAUUCUAAUCACUGCACAUUAUAUACGUAUAACUUGUUACAGCAUACCCCAUAAAUCUGAACAAUUAAAAUUAAGCUUUAAAAAUAAGAUAGUAGAACCAAACUGUCAGAAUUUGAUAUUGUAUAUCACAGAUUUUGCUCUGUUUUAGAGUUCUCUUGUAAUCCUAUGCAAAAGGGAAGAAAUCAAAGUAGCCAUAAACUACAAAAUAUUUUAUACUUGGAGUUAAAUAUCAGGCAUUAUAAAAAUAAUAAUGCCUAAUUAUUAUUACUACUAUUCUGUCUCUUUUUUCAGUAGU